rnacentral:rRNA from 1 species
UACGUAGGGGGCAAGCGUUGUCCGGAUUUAUUGGGCGUAAAGAGCGUGUAGGCGCCAAGCAGGUCAGCUGUGAAAACUCGAGGCUCAACCUCGAGACGUCGGUUGAAACCGCUUGGCUAGAGUCCGGAAGAGGAGAGUGGAAUUCCCGGUGUAGCGGUGAAAUGCGCAGAUAUCGGGAAGAACACCCGUGGCGAAGGCGGCUCUCUGGGACGGUACUGACGCUGAGACGCGAAAAGCGUGGGGAGCGAACAGG